AACAAACGCUGGCGGCGUGCCUAACACAUGCAAGUCGUACGAGAAAGGGUCCUUCGGGCCUGAGUAAAGUGGCGCACGGGUGAGUAACGCGUGGAUAAUCUGCCCCUCAGUUGGGAAUAACUCAUCGAAAGGUGGGCUAAUACCGAAUAACGCUGUGAGACUUUGGUCGAUCAGCCAAAGAUGGCCUCUGCUUGCAUGCUAUCGCUGAAGGAUGAGUCCCGCGUACCAUUAGCUAGUUGGUAGGGUAAUGGCCUACCAAGGCGACGAUGGUUAGCUGGUCUGAGAGGAUGAUCAGCCACACUGGAACUGAGACACGGUCCAGACUCCUACGGGUGGCUG
rnacentral:rRNA from 1 species